CCGUGAAUUAAUUGUCGGUAAAUUAAUUGUUGUUGACUGGAGAUUUGUGAAAUAAGUGAAUAUGCGAAUUUAAAUAAUUCCUGUCCGUGAGGAAUAUUUAUUGGACUCAAUUCCGUGUUGGAUCCGAUAAAUCAAAUAAAUAAUAUAAAGGUCCAGUCCGUGAUAAAUAAAUUAUGGACUGCACAAUUUAAAAGAAAAUACAACAAAAAAACGUGGAUUAGAUCAAAACAGAUUCUCUUCCUAUUGACUUGGUCACCAAGUCAAAUUUAAUUAAAGAUUUUGAGCAGAUUUUCCUCCUCCGUGAAAAGAUAUUCUUCCUCCGUAAUCUGCAAACAAAUACCAGAUAAAAUGCAAAUUAAUUCAAAAAUAAGAAAAAAAAAGAAAAAUUCGAAUCCCCUCCCUCAACCCACGUUGAAACCGUUCCCCUCUCUCCCCAAAUCUCUCCCACAUCCAAACCACCCAUCCCUCUAUUUUUAAUCUUCAAUUCAACUAUUUUUCCUAUUCUAAUCGUCCUCUGCAGCAAUCUAUCUUCUUCAACUUCUAUCCAAGGUAAACAACGUUCUAUCGUUUGUAUCUAAAGUUUCUCCUGCUUCAGAAUCUAACAUCAAUUUGUGCUAUUGGCAGUAACCAAAUUCUCCAGCUUCAAGAACCAUUCUUUUCAAAUCCUCGCAGUUCUUGAUUUCUCAUUCACAGAGGUGAAUCAUCGCAAGGGAAUCGUGAUCGCAAGGGAAAGAACGUAAUUUCAAAUUAAGCACUCGAGGUUGAGCGGCGACGAGGAUGUGUUGGUGUUGAGCGAGUGAAUUAAAUAUGUUAUUGAUGUCUUUGAACCUUGAGUGAUGUUGUGUCUUCACACAUGACGUCACUCUUUCUCUUGGUCGUUUCCGCUGUGACGUGUCUUAAAUUAUGAUUUAUUUGGGCCGACAACUUUAAUUGUUGGGGUAAUGGAUAUUCUGAAUUCCUUGUUGGAUAAUAUUAAACUCUUGGUUAUUUAUUUGGAUAUUAAUUGUUGGUCCAA